CAAGUAUCUAAGUAGAAAGAGAAUUUAUUUUUGAGAGAGAGAGUAUGUUGCAAAUUUUAGAACUUUACCUGUAAGUAUUAAAAAGAAGCAUCAAAUAUUAACAUUGACAGUAUUCUAGAUAAGUUAUUCAUCUUAUUGAGUUCAUAUGAAAUGUGUUGCAUUUCCAAAUUCAUAACUCAUCAAUCUUUUCACCCUGUUAUGUGUUUUUAAUUCACCUUGGGUCUCAUGUUCACCUGACUAAAUGGCAAUAACGAAUUCCUGGAACCUUUGUCUCUCCCAAACACACCCUCACGCUUGUAGACACAAACCAGGCAUAUACAUUACACAUGAUAAUGUGUAAAAAUUUGAUUGCAUUUGCAAGGCAAAUAACGAACCUUGAUGCAUGCCAAUGCCAAUGCCAGCCUACCUGCCUCCCUGCCUCUCUGCCUGCUUGCUUGCUUGCUUGCUUGCUUGCUUGUGGAGGAGGGUAUAUUACUGGGCUCUCGACCCAAAUAGCCAACGAGGCUCUCUCAGCAAGUAUUAAUGCAGGUUUAAAUACCCAUGUACAUUUACUCUACACUUUCACGCUACCCCGUAAACUGCACACUCCCACCCCUUCACUCUCUCUCUCUCUCUCUCUCUCUGUGACUCACUCUGUCUCUCUGUCAUACACUCACACACACAAGACCCUCUCUCUGUCUUCCUCUCUGAGGCUCUCUCUGUCAGCACUCACUUGCCAGCGGGAUGUUCUGCCGCUCCGACAGUCCGUCGUGUUUUGGGUAUAUUUUAGCGUAGCAAAUGGGUCUGCCUGCCUGCCAAUGGAUCCUUGUAGUGCAGAAUGAUUUCUGACGGACGAUAAGGGCAGAUGUUAUUGCAUUUUCUACUCUUGGCAUUGGUGCUUUACGGAGAUAUAGAGCGGAAUUGGCCGUUUACCAAGCUGGAUACUACUUAUUUAUGGUCCGGAGUUAACUGCAGUGUGUACAUACAUGCAGUUCCAGACAUCUGAUUGACCCAAAUUCUUGUGUCAUGCCUGCGCCGUUGUGAUCCGAAGGUUCUAUUAAGGAUUAGCAUUACCCCCACCCGGGCGUUGCAGCAGAGUGGUAGAAAGAGGACUGUGUCACAGGAAAAUUACUUCUGAAAUUACAUUGGAAUCAAAGGUGAAACCCUCAUCAGCGCAUCCAGCAGGAGCAGUGAUGAUAUCGUAA